rnacentral:rRNA from 1 species
GCUUGUCUCAGAUUAAGCCAUGCAUGUCUAAGUAUAAGCAAUUUAUACGUGAAACUGCGAAUGGCUCAUUAAAUCAGUUAUCGUUUAUUUGAUAGUUCCUUUACUACAUGGUAUAACUGUGGUAAUUCUAUAGCUAAUACAUGUUAAAAUCUCGACCCUUUGGAAGAGAUGUAUUUAUUAGAUAAAAAAUCAAUGUCUUCGGACUCUUUGAUGAUUCAUAAUAACUUUUCGAAUCGCAUGGCCUUGUGCUGGCGAUGGUUCAUUCAAAUUUCUGCCCUAUCAACUUUCGAUGGUAGGAUAGUGGCCUACCAUGGUUUCAACGGGUAACGGGGAAUAAGGGUUCGAUUCCGGAGAGGGACCUGAGAAACGGCUACCACAUCCAAGGAAGGCAGCAGGCGCGCAAAUUACCCAAUCCUAAUUCAGGGAGGUAGUGACAAUAAAUAACGAUACAGGGCCCAUUCGGGUCUUGUAAUGGAAUGAGUACAAUGUAAA